CCUACGGGUGGCAGCAGUGAGGAAUAUUGGACAAUGGGCGGAAGCCUGAACCAGCCAAGUAGCGUGCGGGAUGAAGGCCCUACGGGUCGUAAACCGCUUUUGCACGGGGAUAACACCCUCCACUUGUGGAGGUCUGCAGGUACCGUGCGAAUAAGGGCCGGCUAAUUCCGUGCCAGCAGCCGCGGUAAUACGGAAAGCCCGAGCGUUAUCCGGAUUCAUUGGGCGUAAAGGGAGCGUAGGCGGGCGUUCAAGUCAGCGGUAAAAUCGCGCGGCUCAACCGCGCCCCGCAGUUGAAACUGGACGCCUUGAGUUCACAACAGGCAGGCGGAAUUCGUGGUGUAGCGGUGAAAUGCAUAGAUAUCAGGAGGAACCCCGGUUGCGAAGGCAGCCUGCCGGGGUGCGACUGACGCUGAGGCUCGAAGGUGCGGGUAGCAAACAGGAUUAGAUACCCGAGUAGUC
rnacentral:rRNA from 1 species